rnacentral:misc_RNA from 1 species
GCUGGGAAGACGUCUCUUGUCAAUUCAAUUGCUGUAAGAAAAUGCAAAUUUUCACAUCUCUUUGUUUGUGUAUGGGAAUGGCCUUCUUGUUCCCUGAUGGUUUUCAAAUUUUACAGACAGGGGGCUACAGUGAGGAUGAUUCCAACUGUCGGAUUUAACAUGCGGAAAGUUACUAAGGGCAAUGUAACUAUUAAACUUUGGGACCUUGGA